CACCUGCCCUUCUCCCGCCCCGGGGGCGGGCUGCCGCCGCCCUCUGCAGCUGAGUCCGUGCAGUUCCUCACCUGCCUUCUCUGCUCACCGUUGUGUGCUAGCAAUCGGAGGACACUUGGCGCCCGGAGCGACAAGGGCCUCCCCCACAGAUACCUCAUUUUGGGAAAGAACACCACACGUUGAUGAGCACCCCUGGAUGUGGGACACUGUUACAGAACCAGAAAGAAACCCAAGACAGUCCCUUCCUUGAGGAACAAUCACCGUCCAAAGCCAGAUGUAGUUUUGCUCUUGUCACUCAGGCUGGAGUGCAAUGGCGCGAUCUCAGCUCACUGCAACUUCUGCCUCCCGGCUUCAAGUGAUUCUCCUGUCUCAACCUCUCAAGUAGCUGGAAUUACAGGCAUGUGCCACCACGCCUGGCUAGUUUUUGUAUUUUUAGUAGAGAUGGGGUGUCGCCAUGUUGGCCAGGCUGGUCUGGAAAUCCUGACCUCAGGUGAUCCACCCACCUUGGCCUCCCAAAGUGCUGGGAUUACAGGUGUGAGCCACUGCGCCCAGCCUCAGCAUCUUUUAAAAAUACAUAACAUGAAUGGUUUGAUGACCUGCAGAAAUGGUUACAUCGACGGACUUUUCUUUUUCUUCUGGGACCUACCAUGCCUAGUUAAGCAACCAGGGAACUAUCUAGGAUGAAAAGUUAGUAGCAAAUACGGCAACAGAAAAAAGUUAGGGCCCCUCCAUUUUUUGAAGCAGAAAUCUGUUUUGGCUCUUCUUAUUGACCCAACUGAUGGUGGGAAAGCCCAGAGGGAGGUGCCAUCCUUUGGGGUCCCUGGGAGAUUUUGACAGUCAACAUCUAAUGAAUAGGUACAUUUUGUGACUGAAGGAAAGCCACCAUUGUUGGCUUGUGCUGGUGGGGGACUGAGGAGACGUUCUCCUUCAUGACUGUGGCCCCGCCUACAUAUGGCCCCUACUGUGGAAAGAGAAAGAGUUGUGAAGGGCAGGUGCUGCACCCUCAACUCUGAAAAUCUCACAGUAAUUUUGAUUGCAGUUUCCCAAACACUACGAGAAACAUUUAUAAAUACAGUGUAAAAUUUGGAAGCAGUUAUGCCAAAAGUUAGAAAAAAAGAUGGAAAUGUCAGUUUCACUUUUUCCAUAUUCUUGUCUCCCACACAUCUCUUCGAAAAGCAAGCUCGCAUCGUCCUGCAUGGUAAGAGUCUUCAGAACGUGGAAAGGAACUUCAACGGCUUUUGCUGGGUUGGGCUGAAGGAAACCCCGGUGGAACCCACACCUGUAAAGAUGCUUCUCACUGUGGCACUUUUAUCGCUUGGGUCCUGGUCACAAUCAAUUUUUCUGCAAAGAAUUGGCUUUGCUUUUCUUGUGGUGAGUCUCUAAGGACAGUGAGUUCCGUUCUGGGGACUGUGACUUCUAUGCUGUGUACAUGUGUGCUUUGGAGGAUGACUGGAAGCACCAUCAUUCCUUCCCAUACUUUCAGGCUCAGUUACCACUUCAGUCUGGACUGUUGUGAACCAGAAUAUGGAAGUCAUUUUCUCCACAUUGUUUACCCAGCUUGCCUGGGAAACACCAACUGGAGGAUCAGAGUCCGGCUCUUCAUUUUGAACUCACUCUCCCUUUCUUUUCCUGGGACCACCCAGUGAUUCAGAGCCCUGCAUUCUGUAAUGAGAUUAAUGUCAACAGUUUCCUGUGUUGAAGAUUAUUUUCCCAAAGAGUUCACAGUUUCCUUCAGGACUUCUCCAUCACCCCAGUGUCUGGCUACCUAAUGAUUGAUUAAUGGGUUGAUCUUCUAGAAAGCUCAAAUUACAAUUUCUUUUUUUUAAAAAAGGGCAAUCCAGCCUUUUCUCUGAUUAUCCCUCCUCCCCAUCUCCCACUUGUCAUAUGUUUUAGCCACGCAGUCUACUGUCAUCCCCUAAAAGUGUGCUUCUGAGUCUCCAGGCCUUUGAUAAAUUGUUCCCUCCUCCUGGAAUGCCAUUCACCCUAUCUGCCUUUUGGAAUUCUGCCCUUCCCUCGGAAUCUAGCCCAAGUCCCAUCUACUCCAAGAAGGGACUUUUCUAGAUUGAAUUAAACUUCCUUCCCUGGCCCUGCAUGGUGGCCGCACCCAGUAGACUGUGAGUCUACUUUUUUCAUCUUUUAUUCUUACGAGUGCCUGGCCUCAUAUUUUGCACACAGUAGGCAUUUGCUAUACUUUAAUUACUACUAAAAUUGUGUGAUAAAAUAAAACAUUUAAAUCUCA